rnacentral:rRNA from 1 species
AGCGAACGCUGGCGGCAGGCCUAACACAUGCGAGUCGAACGGACCCUUCGGGGUUAGUGGCGGACGGGUGAGUAACACGUGGGAACGUGCCUUUAGGUUCGGAAUAGCCCCUGGAAACGGGUGGUAAUGCCGAAUGUGCCCUUCGGGGGAAAGAUUUAUCGCCUUUAGAGCGGCCCGCGUCUGAUUAGCUAGUUGGUGAGGUAAUGGCUCACCAAGGCGACGAUCAGUAGCUGGUCUGAGAGGAUGACCAGCCACAUUGGGACUGAGACACGGCCCAAACUCCUACGGGAGGCAGCAGUGGGGAAUCUUGCGCAAUGGGCGAAAGCCUGACGCAGCCAUGCCGCGUGGAUGAUGAAGGUCUUAGGAUUGUAAAAUCCUUUCACCGGUGAAGAUAAUGACUGUAGCCGGAGAAGAAGCCCCGGCUAACUCCGUGCCAGCAGCCGCAGUAACAC